CACAGGAACGAGUUGGAGCGGCACUUCCUGGAGCUGCUGCAGUUCAACAUCAACGUGCCGUCCAGUGUCUACGCCAAAUAUUACUUUGACCUGCGCUCGCUGUCAGAAACCAACAACCUGAGCUUCCCUCUGGAGCUGCUCAGCAGAGACAAGGCCCUGAAACUGGAGGCUAUCUCCCGGCUGUGUGAUGACCGGUACAAGGACGUCCGGAAAGCUGCCAAAAAGCGCUCCUCCAGCACGGACAAUCUAUGUGGCAUCAAAUGGGUUCCUGCUAUCCUCUCCUAACCAAUAUGAAUCUGAACACUGGCAUCAGGCUGCAGGAGCACCGGCUGGGUGAAAAAACUCACGAGGGCGAAAUAUACCAACAUGGUUUUAUUCACAAGAACUUUACUUUGGAUUACAGAUGAUACCAAGACGGUGGGAUUUGGUUUGCUUGAGUGGAGGCAAGAAAGUGGAACCACAUCGGAUGUUUUCUUGAGUUUUUCUCAGUGCCUCAGCUCUCUUGAUAAUGAAAGAGAAGUUCCUGACUGUUAUAGUAUCUGUGGGAAACAUUUAUUUGGACCCACCUGGAACGUCCUGGACUCAAAAAGCCUCAUUCUUCCUGGGACACGGCACUCUGUUCAGUUUUGUGUCCGGCCUAUUUUAAAACAUUUGACAUAACCUGCCUUUGAGAAUGGCCGUGCAUCUUCACAACGAAGCAUACUAUUUAUUUGACUUUGAUUAUACGUGGACUUCUGCCUGAACCCAUAGCACCUGCAGAGUUCCAGUAGUGUAGCACUGGACUUAUUAUUUAUUACUUAGAAUAAUUAAAGUGUUAGCAAGUUUUCUCCUUUGGCAAUAUGUAUAUUCAAGGUUUACAGUGUUUGUAGUGUACCUUCCGAUACUCAGGUAGUCCGUUUAAUCUAUUGUGAUGCUCCCAUAUAGGGUUGAAAGUGACAAAUUACAUAUUGUGGAGGACAGAAUUAAUAUAAUCUUGUGAUAUUUUCCUAUUUUAGGGACAUUAAUAAUCAAACUACCACAUUUUCUUGGCCUGUAUAGCAAGAAAUAUAACCUGUUUUCCAGAGUUUCUGAUUCUGUACUCAUCAGACUCUGGUUAUAUAUUAACAUGAUUAUUACAAGACGUUUUAGCAGUUUCAGUCAAUUCAAAUUUAGAUGCCCAAUAUAAGCUUUGAAUAGAGUAAGCACACCUCACUGCUGACAUCUAGUGGACAUUUGAGGAUUUGAGAUUAGUUUUGUUUACCCAGAUACCAUUUUUAUAGCGGUAUGUAUUGGAAUAGAUAUUUAUACUAAUGCAGGGUGACUUUACACCUUACAAAUGUAUCAAGCACCAAAAUAUACUGUUACUUUAAAACACAGGACAUUGUGUUGUUUUCAAUUAUUCAGUAUUACCGUGCAUUACAUCUACACAGUACCUGGAAAGUUAACUUAUAUUGAAAGACUUCAGUACAUCUAUGCAUGCAGUCUUGUCUUGAUAAGGUGGUUUCUCUAACUUUCCCCAUUGUUUUUAAACACUCAAACAAAACUGCUCCAAUCCUUAUGUUCGUUUCACCAUUUAUUGCAAGGACACAGUCAAAAAUACAGUCCAAUCGGUGGUAGUAGUACAAGUUAGAUGGCUGAUUGUGAUGAGAAAUGGUAGGAAAGUACGGUACAAAUUGCGAAAGAGUAUGCAGUAGAAAUGCGGAUAACCAAAACAUUUCACCACCAGACUCACCCCCCUCUCUCUAACAUGCAAAACCACAAGUGAUUAGUUAAAAAUACCACAUAAUAGAAAAAAAAUCGACCUCACAUUUGGCUCCUACACCUAAAAAUGCAUCAGGAUAAACAGACAGAGAUAUUCCUUACUCCCUGAGAUGUCCACCAUUGUAUGAUUUUUUUUUUAAUUUUUAAUUUUUAAUUUUUUUAUAAAUGGACACUCAGAAAAGAUUUAAGAAAAAGUUAACUUCCAGUGCUAUGGAUAAAAGACUGCUGUGGUAAUGUGGGUGUGAUGUGUAAUAUAAGACCGUAAAAUAUCACAAAUCCCAAAAUAAACUUCUCCCAUGUUUCCAGCCGGGGGUUUAUUGUUGGUCACACAGUCGUUCAAUAACAGCCUGUAGAUGUCACAAACAUAAACGUCCAUUAAUCUGCUUUCUUUAGUGUUUGACAACCAAUUAAUCAUGUU